UGCAGUCGAGCGAACGGAUAAGGAGCUUGCUCCUUUGAAGUUAGCGGCGGACGGGUGAGUAACACGUGGGUAACCUACCUAUAAGACUGGGAUAACUUCGGGAAACCGGAGCUAAUACCGGAUAACAUUUAGAACCGCAUGGUUCUAAAGUGAAAGAUGGUUUUGCUAUCACUUAUAGAUGGACCCGCGCCGUAUUAGCUAGUUGGUAAGGUAACGGCUUACCAAGGCGACGAUACGUAGCCGACCUGAGAGGGUGAUCGGCCACACUGGAACUGAGACACGGUCCAGACUCCUACGGGAGGCAGCAGUAGGGAAUCUUCCGCAAUGGGCGAAAGCCUGACGGAGCAACGCCGCGUGAGUGAUGAAGGGUUUCGGCUCGUAAAACUCUGUUAUUAGGGAAGAACAAAUGUGUAAGUAACUGUGCACAUCUUGACGGUACCUAAUCAGAAAGCCACGGCUAACUACGUGCCAGCAGCCGCGGUAAUACGUAGGUGGCAAGCGUUAUCCGGAAUUAUUGGGCGUAAAGCGCGCGUAGGCGGUUUCUUAAGUCUGAUGUGAAAGCCCACGGCUCAACCGUGGAGGGUCAUUGGAAACUGGGAAACUUGAGUACAGAAGAGGAAAGUGGAAUUCCAUGUGUAGCGGUGAAAUGCGCAGAGAUAUGGAGGAACACCAGUGGCGAAGGCGACUUUCUGGUCUGUAACUGACGCUGAUGUGCGAAAGCGUGGGGAUCAAACAGGAUUAGAUACCCUGGUAGUCCACGCCGUAAACGAUGAGUGCUAAGUGUUA
rnacentral:rRNA from 1 species